rnacentral:rRNA from 1 species
UACAGGGGGUGCAAACGUUGCUCGGAAUCAUUGGGCGUAAAGCGCACGUAGGCGGUCUGUCAUGUCGGAUGUGAAAGCCCUCGGCUUAACUGAGGAAGUGCAUCCGAAACUGGCAGGCUAGAGUACCAAAGAGGGUCGCGGAAUUCCCGGUGUAGAGGUGAAAUUCGUAGAUAUUGGGAAGAACACCGGUGGCGAAGGCGGCGACCUGGUCCUUAUACUGACGCUGAGGCGCGAAAGCGUGGGGAGCAAACAGG